UACAGAGGUGGCAAGCGUUGUUCGGAAUUACUGGGCGUAAAGGGCGCGUAGGCGGUCUUGCAAGUCCCGUGUGAAAUCCCUCGGCUCAACUGAGGAACUGCACGGAAAACUGCUUGGCUUGAGUUCGGGAGAGGGAAGCGGAAUUCCGGGUGUAGCGGUGAAAUGCGUAGAUAUCCGGAGGAACACCGGUGGCGAAGGCGGCUUCCUGGACCGACACUGACGCUGAGGCGCGAAAGCUAGGGGAGCAAACGGG
rnacentral:rRNA from 1 species